rnacentral:rRNA from 1 species
UACGGGGGGAGCAAGCGUUGUUCGGAUUUACUGGGCGUAAAGGGCGCGUAGGCGGCCAGCACAAGUCAGUUGUGAAAUCUCCGGGCUUAACUCGGAAAGGUCAACUGAUACUGUGCGGCUAGAGUGCAGAAGGGGCAACUGGAAUUCUCGGUGUAGCGGUGAAAUGCGUAGAGAUCAGGAAGAACAUCGGUGGCGAAGGCGCUCUGCUGGACCAUAACUGACACUCAGGGACGAAAGCUAGGGGAGCGAACGGG